AUGUCUGAGGAGUGGGAGGAAUUAUUUCCCCUGGUUUCUGUUAGGAAAUUGGUUCGAGAGAUCUCGGACCAUAACCCUUUGCUGAUUAACUAUGGGGAAGAGGGACGAGAGGCUCCCAAACCUCGCGAAUUUCGCUUUGACCUUUCUUGGAUCAAGGACGAUCGCUUCCUUCCUUUGGUCAGUAAAAUCUGGGCUCGAGGGGUCUUCUCUAAAGAUCCCAUCGAUAUCCUGAAUAUUAAGUUGAAGCGUUUCAAGAUCUUUUUUAAGGGGUGGGGCUCAGACAAAUUU
rnacentral:rRNA from 1 species